rnacentral:rRNA from 1 species
GUUGUAUAGUCAAGUAAUUAAGUGCAUGUGGUGGAUGCCUUGGCAGUCAGAGGCGAUGAAAGACGUGAUAGCCUGCGAAAAGCUCCGGGGAGGCGGCAAAUAUCCUUUGAUCCGGAGAUGUCUGAAUGGGGGAACCCACCUACUUUAAGGUAGGAAUUGCAACAUGAAUACAUAGUGUUGCAAGGCGAACGAGGGGAAGUGAAACAUCUCAGUACCCUU